UACAACACGGUCCAUACGUGACCACUGACAUUAGCGUACACGAUUACCUUUAACUUCAUUGAACUCGUCGCUUUUACCCGGGCAGGAUGGCCAGCUCUGGACUGCAGAUCGUUGGUUUUCUCCUCUCCUUAACUGGAGUCUGCGCAACUAUUGCCGCCACUUUCAUGGUCGAGUGGGAAAAGCGCUUUCAAGUCAAGGAGCUGACCUAUGAAGGUCUGUGGAUGAGCUGCAUCAGCACCACCGAGACGACCACCUGCGAAAUUUACGAUAGUGUAUUGAAGCUGCCGACUGAGAUCCAGGCCACUAGAUUAGUGAUGGUGGCCAGCCUCUUCUUCGCUGCCUUGGGGCUGAUCAUUUCAGUAUUCGGGAUGAAGUGCACCCGCUUCAUGGAUGCCAUGCCCCAAGGCAAAGGGAAUGCAGCUGUCACUGGAGGGAUACUGUUCAUCCUCUCAGGUCUUUUAACCUUCAUAAUCACCUCCUGGUACGCCGGUAGGAUAGUUCAGCUCAACCAGGCAGCGCAUCAUCUGCAAAACAAGGAAUUUGGUCACGCUGUGUUCGUCAGCUGGGCGGGGGGAUUGUUUACUGCUCUCGGUGGAGUGCUCCUGAGUCUUCGGAGGUGUUGGGGCUCCAAGAGUUCAACAGAGUCCAUAGGCACCAGCCACCUUCUCUCUACUACAAACUCCAAGUCUAAUUACGUCUAACAGAGGAGCUUGGAUCCCCAAGUCCCACCGUGGGAUAACUACCUAUGCACAGUGUAUUUGUCUCUCAUCUUCUGAUGUACAAAUAUGAAAAAUCCGACAAGUUGAUGUAUUCAUGGUGAACAUUUCUAAAACCAUAUGGAUCCUCUGCGGCUUUCUGCUGUGAUCUUACGGCUUUGCAAAAUUAGCUACACGUACUGUUGAGCCUCACACAAGCGUCAUUAGAUUGGUCAAAAGGUUUUCUAAGUUUUCAAACACUAGUUGUACUGGAAAGUUAAAAACUACUUAAUAUGCUCAAACAUCAGCUCACUCAACGUGUGAUGAGAGGUUCCUGUCUGACUAUCUUUGUUUAUGUCCUUGUGUUUUUCUGUUUACUUACAUUUGUUUUUUUUUUAUUAAGAGCCUGAGAGGUGGGCGAAGGGGGUACAUAUAUAUUUUUAUUUUCCUGUUUUUGUGUUUUUGUUGUAUGACUGUUAAUGAAAAA